rnacentral:lncRNA from 1 species
GGGCAUCGUCGGGAGCAAAGACAUGGUCAAGGUUCCAAAGACCUGAAAGGGAAUCCCGAAGUGGCACAGGCGCUCUGCAUCGCGGCGGUGGGGCUCGCGGCCUUGCUGGGCGUCGUCAUGUUCUUCCACUCCAGAUCAGCGCCUCCGAGGAGAGUAGCUGUGCGCAGAAUCCACGCCGAGGUUGGCGACGAC